AAUGGAAACAAAAUCUUACAUCCUUGUAUUGAGAGAUAUUCUUAUAGGUCACCAACUCCCCAUAAAUGAGGCCGGCAAGAAUAGCGGGGCGAAUUUCAGCAUCCAUCUUUUUUCUAUCCUCCAUCGUUUCACCACUAAACUCAAAAACUUUAUAAUCUUUGAUUCUCAACUUUUGUACCUGGAAGACAAAUCACAAAAAGUGAACCCAAAGUUUUCUUUAUAAAAAAAAUGACUCUACAUAAGAGAAAAGGACACCAAAAUUUUCUAUAUGCAUAAAUGGCUUUUUUUUUUAAAUCAUGAUAUACCAAUCAAAUAUGAAAAUAAUCAUUCAAACAUACACAGAUUACAUGACCUACCAUCUUUGACAAAUGAUUACAUUACUUGAAUCUUGGGUACCAAAAAAAAGACAGAGAAAGAAUGAAUGCUCCUAAAAUGUAGGGGUAAGCAUGCAAAAUUUAGAAGUGAGAACAAAUUAUAAAUUUUGGAAGGAAAAUAAGAAUACACAGGAACAACAUAAAAUCCUCAUAUAGAACAACUUAUUUUAAACACAUACAUCGUCAUUAUCUAAGGAGGUUCCGUUCUCCUCCAUAUGUUCCAAUACUGUCCAACAGUAAGUGGACAUUUUGCCGCCACAUUCGGGCUUAUCACAGAAGUGGACCUUUUGCAUGUGAGUAGCAACUUCUUUGGCCAGUUUGUCCACUGAAACUUUUGGUAGAUUCGUGUCGGGUUUGUGUAUUGCUAGGUUCCCCAAGCAAGCAUCCGAUACGCUGUAGAUAGUACACAAAGCUAAAGAAAGGAAAAUGAAACCAUAAGAUUAUAACUCGGAGAGACAUCUACUGUCAAUCGGGAAUUAAACUAAAAUUUUAGCUCCUUCUACACUCUAAAUGUCCCAACAUUAUCCAAAAUAAAUUAAUUAAAGUCAAUGGUUGCAAAUUUAAGAAAUAAUUGGGGUUUUGGCAUUACUAAAGCCAUUACUUAUGGUAUCAGCCAAUGCACCUAUUCCUGCCAACCACUUUGUCCAGCACUUCACAAUACAACUUUCUAUUCUUCUCUUUCUUUGUGUGUUACAGAGGACUUUUUUUGGAAGAAAAAACCUCUAGGGUUGCUCCCAAUGGUCGCAGCAAGCGGAGGAGAGUUUCAACAAAUCAGACUGUUAUCAAGGGUUGCUCCCAUUGGUCGCAGCAAGUGGAGGAGAGUUUCAACAAAUCACUGUUGUCAAUAGUGAUGUUUACAUGAACCUGGAGGUUUCUAGCGGAUCUAUGGCUUCAUUCACGGUGUGCUGAGUAUUAUAGUUUUCAAAUUCGGAUACAGUUUCAGAGUAUGUUCUAAGUUCAUGCUGUAAGGAAAUCAUUGCCGUAAAGACUGGCAUUGGUGGAGCGAUUGUGAAGUGAUGGUGUCCAGCUUACCUCAAGCAUGCAGCCGAGUGUGCCCGGUUUUUAUCUCAAACACUUACGAGGAGACCAAGCUUCUCAAGUUCUACGUAAGCAACGAUGCUCUUCUCAGAUCUUAAUUUACUCUCCCCCUUCUCUCUGUACCGAACCUCUCUUGCUUUGCCAAUUGCCUCCUGGUUUUCACUCGAGUGUAACCGGUUGGCUUAAUGGCAAGGUGCGGUCCUGGUGGCAGGUGGUGACGAGGUUUGUUUGGGUCUCCUGCUGAUUUCGUCUCUUGGGUUUAUCGGUUAUUGCCUAAUGGCAUGGUGGAGCUUUUGCGGUGGGUGCGGCGUGGUCUCCGGACAUUAUAGUUAUGAAGGUGAAUGGCGAUGGUGGUGUUUGGUAAUGUUUGGAUCGGUGUUGAUGGAUGACAAUGGCGGCAUGCGACAUCGUUAUGGAACCUAGCUCGGUGGUCGGAUUCUCAUACCGUUUGUGAGAGCCAAAAUGGCGGUUUCUCGGCGGUCAUUUUUGGGUCCAGUCAUUUGAGAGGUUUGCUGUGGCACGGGCCGCUGGUUGUUUUAUUCAGCAAUCAGUCCGAAUUUCUGAUGCAUCCAUCUAAGCAGCACUUCUUCAAGAGUUCCCUCGGUAGCAAUUAGACAUCUCAAAAUUUUGUUGAAGGUUAUGUACCAAUUAGACGUCUCAAAAUUUGAUAUCCAAAAAACCUAUGGUGGAGAUGCUCUAACUAUAGCACGAUGGUGAAACAUAGUUCUUCUCAAAAGUUACAAUGUACUAUAGUUUUUAUUUGGGAAAACAAAACAUAAAUUUUUUGUUGCC